rnacentral:lncRNA from 1 species
GCGGCCGCCAGGAUGUGCCCCUGGCCCCGUCGUCGCCGCGCCCGCGCCCCUCGCCCCAGUACGUCUUUUUUCGUUUCCUAAAUUUCUUAUUUUUGUCCUUGCAAGUGGCCCUGUCUGGUGUGAACCGUCAGCACAGAUGGCCUCCGGGAGCUUCCCCGAGUCGUUCGCUGGGGGAAGCGGGCGGUGAGCGGUCGGCCGGGGCGCUCCGCAGGCCGCGAGCUCCUGGCAGGGCUGGUGGCGGGGGUCCGCCUGGGGGAGGAAUCCCCGCCUGCUUCAUCGGACCCGGGCUGGCGCGGCUCGCGGCGCUCGGCGGGCUCCCUUCCAUUCUAGAAUCUUCCCGCUUGCUUCCCAGCCCGCGUUCUCCCGCCCGCCUUUAAUUGUGUGCGGACGUGGGGAGGAUCUUCUAAGUGCCUCCAACGAAGGCAAGUGUGAGACUCUGGCCCUUUAUUUGUAAGAAGCAAGCCUUCAGAUUGCAGAAGUGUCCCCGCGGGUCGCCGUGCGUUGCGCGAGUGGGAAGAUGGAGGAGGCUGGCACGGUGCUUUCGUGGACGCAAGUGAACCGGGCGUGAAGGCAGGGUGCGAGCUCUGCCCUUGGCCCAGCCCUGCGUGGGCGCCGUCCCAGAUUCCAGGCGGUGCGGGGUGCAGAGAUCUGGAGAGAGUUGCGGGCUCCCCAGCGCAGGCUGCUCUGGGAUUUCGUUGGAAGAUCCGGCAGAGCCUUGGAGGAGAGGGCCCGGGAGGCUGUGUGUGCAGCGGAAACUUGUACGAAUGCUCCCACAGCUGAAAUGGUGCGCACGAGUAAUUUCUGCGGUGCACCCUUUUAGAAAUUGACUUAAGUGAACAAGAUCAAUUUUUUUUAAGAAAGCAAAGGUAGAAAACAAAAGGCGUGCGACUUCUUGACUGGCUUGUUCCCUCCUUUCUUCCUUUUCUAUACUCAGAUCAGAAACUUUUCUUUAAUUGCUCUUAUUCAGUGCGACAACUUUUUAAUAAAAGCGUUUGCAUUUUAAGCCUGAGUUGCAACCAUAGAUUUAUUGCGAAGUGACAACGUGUCUACGGAAUAUUUUCGCAGUUGAGACAGGACGUGCGCUCUAGUCGUGCCCAGAUUAAAGGGACGCUGGGCCAUGUGCCUGUGUAGUGCAGACUCGGAGGGGCACACACAUACCCGUCACCACAUGACCGCUGUCUGUUAAUACUGUCAUACCUAAACACUCGCAAAAACAAAAGUUGCUUUUCUUCCCUGUAAUUGAAUCUAACUUGUUAAUUGUC